CAAGACAGUGUUUGUUGAAUAAGGCUUUUUUUGCUUGUUCAUUUUUGUUUUGGUUUGGUUUUUAGGCAUGAACAAUAAUUGUUUCAUGAAAUAGUGCAUACAUAACCCAUGUUAUGUACAAGCACUGCUUUGCAUUUUGUUCCAUGCGCUGAAUUUGCACUGUCCUAAACCACUCACAGAAUGUGUAUGAAAAUUACUAGAAAAUAAGAUAAAAUGUUAGUACCCUCUUUGAAGAAGGCUUGGAACUGUUUCAUGCAAAACACUGGAAACAUUACAAGAGUUCCUCAGCUCAGUUCAUAAUUCAUGAGCCCAGAUGUAGUUCUGCAUCCUGAAUUCAGUACAGACCCUGGAGGAGGAGGAAGCAGCAGAACUGAAAUGUCAGGUCUAUUGAGCUCUUGGCUGAACUUCUGGUCUCCUAAAGUAGAGGGUGUGGAAGACAUUGGGUCCAUGCCCUCACAGGGUACAGCAAAGAUACAUUCAUAUAAACCUACGUGCAGGGUGCAGUGUUUUCUUUUUCCUGCUAAGACUGCAGAUAGACAGACUUGGUUGGCUCUUAAUAGGUGAGACUUUCUUUUUUCCAGUAAGGUUUUGCCCUCAAGUCCCUGGACAACAUUGUCUUCAUUGUCAGUUUUGUACUUGCAGUUGUGUUCACGCAUAUCUUGCUUGCCUGUUCUUUGCUGCUUUCCAUGCUUUAAUUGCUCAUCCCUCUUUCUGGUUCCGGGAACAGCCAGCGUUACCUCACCUUACCCAAACAGUUUUGAAGUUACUAGCACAAGUAUUUUUCUCACUGAGUUGAAAGAAAGUGUACCACAAAGCAAGGACUUUUUACAAACAGAGAAUGCAAGCAGAAAUUCAGCACAGCUAGCUUUUCCAUUUUCCUGUUUUGGAG
ensembl:lncRNA